UCUCCUGAAGCUUCUAUAGCAAUCUCGGUUGCUUCCUCAAUCAUAGCAUCAGAAACCUUUCUCAGGUUGGUUCUGUAUUAUGUCGUAUUUUAUAUUCUCGAGAGCGCCCUCACUCCCCACACUCCCAUGUUUCUUGAAACAAACCACCGCCAUCCCCCAAAAACAAAAUCUCUGAGAAACCCUCAAUCCUAGCCAUGGCCAAACUGGCCGAAAACCGAAACUGAAACUGGACGGAACUCCCGGACAAAUUGACGGCGGCGAUUCUUUAACGGCGAGGAGUGGUGGAGAUUCUGGAGAAUGCUCAGAAGGUUUGCAUGAAGUGGCACAAAAUAUCUAAAGACCCCCUUUUCUGGCGCAAAAUUGGGACGGCAAUCUCGAGGAUUGAGACUACGAAGACAUCUUCCGCCACGCCGUUGAUCGAAGCUCCGUUUAUGUCACCGACAUCAGUAUCGAGCACUUCGCCACCGAUGAACUACUCACCUAUAUCUCCAAAAAUGCGAGCAAAACCAGAUGAGUUCGACUGUUUUCUUGCAAUGAGGUAUUAGGUGAGGAUUAAGUAAAAUGGCGUCGAACACGUGAGUAAACUAACUAUUGUCGUUCAAUCUUUUAUAGAAUUUAUUUGAACACAUUGCUCCAGUGAUCUGAUAGGAGAUUGUUCGUUGGAGAGAGAGAAUAGAGGAAGAAGCUGACAAUAGAGGUCAAGUGUUUACGGAUUAUCGCUUAAUUCCUAAGCCGUCCGGAUUGUUCGUCUACAGAUCUUCUUCUUCUUUUUCUCCCUUCUGCUCUCCUUGGGGUACUGUUGUAAUAUACGGUUUGUCAUCAACAUAAGAAGCAUUUCUGGGGUAUUCGAUCAACCUGUACCUAUGCUGCUGAAAUAGGUAACCUUUCUUUGCUAUUUCUUUUUGAAGACGGACAAGAG